rnacentral:rRNA from 1 species
GGCUCAGGACGAACGCUGGCGGCGCGCCUAACACACGCAAGUCGAACGGAGCUUAGAGAGCUUGCUUUUUAAGCUUAGUGGCGAACGGGUGAGUAACGCGUGAGUAACCUGCCCUAGAGUGGGGGACAACAGUUGGAAACGACUGCUAAUACCGCAUAAGCCCACGGUACCGCAUGGUACUGAGGGAAAAGGAUUUAUUCGCUUUAGGAUGGACUCGCGUCCAAUUAGCUAGUUGGUGAGGUAACGGCCCACCAAGGCGACGAUUGGUAGCCGGACUGAGAGGUUGAACGGCCACAUUGGGACUGAGACACGGCCCAGACUCCUACGGGAGGCAGCAGUAGG